UAUCUCAAGGAUCCUAAUAAUUAGGGGAGAGAUAUAUAUAUGUCUCUUUUAUAUAUAUAUAUAUAUAUAUAUAUAUAUAUAUAUAUAUAUAUAUAUAUAUAUCAAGAGUCCUAAAUAAUUGGGAAUCCCCUCAGCCAGGAAGCCCUUCUUCCCCCUCUUAUCAUCACAUCUCCCCAUCUUGUCAUCCUGUCUUUCCCUCUCUUGUCUUCUCUUUCUUCUCUGUCUCCUCUUCUCUCUCCAAUAUGGUAGCCACUAGUGCACAUGGCCAUAGAGCUUUUGAAAUGUCGCUGGUACAACUGAGCAACAGAAUUUUUAAUCCACUCCUAUUCAACAUAGUGUUGGAAGUUCUGGCUAGGGAAAUCAGGCAGGAGAAGGAAAUAAAGGGUAUUCAAUUAGGAAAAGAGGAAGUCAAA
rnacentral:lncRNA from 1 species